rnacentral:rRNA from 1 species
GACGAACGCUGGCGGCGUGCUUAACACAUGCAAGUCGAACGGAGAGGCCCUGCUUUUGUGGGGUGCUCGAGUGGCGAACGGGUGAGUAACACGUGAGUAACCUGCCCUUGACUUUGGGAUAACUUCAGGAAACUGGGGCUAAUACCGGAUAGGAGCUCCUGCUGCAUGGUGGGGGUUGGAAAGUUUCGGCGGUUGGGGAUGGACUCGCGGCUUAUCAGCUUGUUGGUGGGGUAGUGGCUUACCAAGGCUUUGACGGGUAGCCGGCCUGAGAGGGUGACCGGCCACAUUGGGACUGAGAUACGGCCCAGACUCCUACGGGAGGCAGCAGUGGGGAAUAUUGCACAAUGGGCGGAAGCCUGAUGCAGCAACGCCGCGUGCGGGAGGACGGCCUUCGGGUUGUAAACCGCUUUCGCCUGUGACGAAGCGUGAGUGACGGUAAUGGGGAAAGAAGCACCGGCUAACUACGU